AUGCCAAGAGCAAAUGAAGGAAAACACAAAUCUAAAGGGGCUCCCCUGCCCAUCGUUUUGAUUCUUCAAAAGUUUCUGAAAACGUAUGAGAAGCACUGUGCGCAGUCUCAGACGUCUGUGUGUCCAGCCAUCAAAAGUGACCUGAAAAGCAGCAUUGACAGUGACCAGGUGCUCAGGAAGUUUAUGCUUGUAAGAUCUGAUGACUCCCCACCAAGAAUCCUACCAGUUUCCUUGGAACCUUUGCUCAUGACAAUUCAAGAUGAGUGUUACACACUGGCGAAAGAGAUCUGCAUCUGGGGCCUUCCACUGAGCAACCCAGAGAUUGCCAGACUUGCUUUGCUUCUGGAAUCGAAGGGGCACACCACCUGCCCGUUUACCACCCUAGAAAUCAUUGAUUGCAAAAUGGAUCUGUGGUCUCUAGAGCGACUUGGGAAGGCUCUGCGGUUCAGUAGUUUGCGUUCUCUUGUCCUCGAUUACUGCAAAUUUGGAAAGGAAGAACUUGAGAGCAUUUUCUCGGGCCUGGAGAACAACCAAAGGCUUCAAGGCCUCAGUCUGCGUUAUUGUGGUCUGGGAUCUCAGAGUGGACUAAGGCUGGGUUCGGUCCUCAGCCAGAGUGCCAUUUGCGAGCUGUACCUUGAAGGCAAUUACUUGGAAUGUUCUGGAGCACUGGCUCUUCUCAGGCCCAUAGCAGACUUUGCGGAGACACAGGGGAAAGACCAGCUAACCCCAGGCUCACCAGACGCUGGACAUCCCCCUCAGCGGCUCCAAGCCAAACAGAGAGGAAGUUCAACUUUGAACCAGAUUACAAAAUCGUCUGAAGCUGUAACAGUGAAAACUACUUCAGGGAAGAAAAAGAGGAAAAAAGGAAUCAAGAAGAAAAUGGAAGGUCUGAUGGAAGCUGGUCCUUGGUUAGUGAAGUUGCAUUUGGCAGAUAAUGGCAUAGAUGGAAAAGGAAAAGAAGGAGAAAAUGGUUUGUCGGAAUUCAUUCAAACUUUAACAUGCCUGAUCAAAUACUCUGCCCACUUAAGGGAAAUUGACCUUGGAAACAAUGUUCUGGGAGAAAUGGCUGCUGCUGAAAUACUUGAAGCACUGAGAGCCAGAAAGACAGGUAAACUACCGGUCUUAAAAAUUACAGUCACUCCCCAGAUCUCUUCAGAUACCUUCAGAUCAAUUUGGAAAAAUAGCAAGAAGUCUAAUACUAUCCGUAAAAAGAAGAAAAAGACUAAAAACUGAAUAUGGGUGCUGUAUUUCCAUAUGGAUAUCAUCUAUUUCCACGGCCAAGCAGACAUGCCUAGAUAGAUAUUGCUUAUUCUAUAGUAAUAUUUUUCACUGUAACCAAGUCCCUUUCAAGUUCUCAAAUUUGAUGAUUAUUGUAUGAAAGUUUAAAGUAAUGUGAUAAUCCUAGCUUAUGAUGAUCCCAUCACACUUGUCAUUUUCUAAAAUGUGGGUUUCACAAGUAAGCCUUAGUAGAAAGAGAUGCAGUUCUCUGAGGCUUCAUCUCUCCUGUAUAUGAAAUUUAUAAGUUGAAGUAAGUCAUAAUUUUAUCUAAGAAAGAAAGAAUCCUCUUUCAUAAAUAUACCUAUAGUUGAGAACAAUAAGAAUGCUUGGAAAUAAUAACCACUUCCUAAAAGACACCAUCCCUAAAAAUGAGGAUCUUCCCUAAAUGAGGAAACUUUUUUUUUAAGAUGGGGUCUUGCUCUGUUGCCCAGGCUGGAGUGCAAUGGUGCAAUCUCAGCUCAUUGCAAACUCUGCCUCCUGCAUUCAAGCGAUUCUCCUGUCUCAGCCUCCUGAGUAGCUGGGAUUAUAGGCGUGCACCACCACGCCUAGCUGAUUUUUUGUAUUAUUAGUAGAGACAGAGUUUCACCAUGUUGGCCAGGCUGGUGUCGAACUCCUGAUCUCAGGUGAUCCACCUGCCUUGGCCUCCCAAAGUGCUGGGAUUACAGGCGUGAGCCACCGCACCCGGCCAAAUGAGGAAACUUCAAAUCCCUCUGCCCCACCAUGAAGAUGCAACACAGCCCCGUGAGAGAUGGAAGAGGUGUGGUUGAUUGAUGUACGGAUGACAGUGGGUGAGUUGGGUUUUAUAUGCCACAACAAUACGGUGCAGGAUGAAGAGCAUGGCCUGGGCAGUUAGAUGAACCAGAAGUCUCUGUAGAGGAAUUGCCACUUUCCAGGUACUGAGCCUGGGCAAGUCAGUUCACCUCAUGCUCCUCAGUUUCCUCUUGUAACUGAGGAACUUACUAUAUGUAAGAUAUAGUUAAGAGGAGCAGGGCUGGGUGCAGUGGCUCAUGCCUGUAAUCCCAGCAAUUUGGGAGGCUGAGACAAAAGGAUCGCUUGAGGCCAGGACUUCAAGACCAACCUGGGCAACAUAGUGAGACCCCCUAUCUCUACAAAAAAUUGAAAAAUUAACCAGCUGUGGUGGCAUGUGCCCGUAGGCCUCGCUAUUUGAAAGGCUGAGGCAGGGGGAUUGCUUAAGCCCAGCAGGACAGCGCUUCAAUGAGCUAUGAUUGCACCACUGUACUCCAGCCUGGGUGAGGAAGUGAGACCCUACCUCAAAAAAAAAAGGAAAAAAAAAACAGUAGUGCCUAUCUCAAUUGGUGAGCAUUGAAUGAGACCACACACGUCAGGCAUUUUAGAACAAUGCCUUGUUCAUAUUAUAUACUCAAAAAUAAAUAUGAGUGGCUCUUAUUAUUGCUGCUAUCAUUGUGGAUGUUAUAGAAUUGAGUGGUUCCAGUUAUUUCACCUAUGACAACCACACAAGAAACAUUGGAAAGAAAUGAAAAAAAGAAGACUUAAGACCUCUUCGCUUUGAAGUAAAAAUAAAAAACAAAAAAACAUUUAACAAGUGCUAGCAAGUUUGUGGAAUCAAACUAACUGUGGGGUAAGAAUGGCAUAGUAAAUUAGCUCCACUCUCCAGGGUCUUAGGAUCUAGUUAAGAAGACAAGAUCUUCGGCCAGGCGCGGUGGCCCACACCUGUAAUCCCAGCACUUUGGGAGGCUGAGGCAGGUGGAUCACGUGAGGUCAGGAGUUUGACACCAGCCUGGCCAAUGUGGAGAAACCUCAUCUCUACUAAUAAUACAAAAAUUGGCCAGGUGUGGUGGCACAUGCCUGUAAUACCAGCUACUAGGGAGGCUUAGGCAGGAGAAUCGCUUGAACCCAGGAGGCGGAAGUUGCAGUGAACUGAGAUUGCACCAUUGCACUCCAGCCUGGGCAACAAGAACAAAACUCCAUCUCCCCCCCCCAAAAAAAAAAAACCAAGAUUUUCUUGCAUUAAAAGUCAACAAUAAAGUAUAUGAGUUGGAAAAAUAUGCGUCAUUAGGCAGGAUAAGAAAGGCCAUAGGACCAUGGAGUAACAAGAUCAAUGUAACAAAUGUAUCAGAACUGAUGGAUCCAAUAUGUGAGAGCUCCUGAGAACUGUUCCUGCUUAAAAGAAAUGCAAAUAGGCUGGGCGGGCGCGGUGGCUCACGCCUGUAAUCCCAGCACUUUGGGAGGCUGAGAUGGGUGCAUCACGAGGUCAGGAGAUCGAGACCAUCCUGGCCAACAUGGUGAAACCCCGUCUCUACUAAAAAUACAAAAACUAGCUGGUCAUGGUGGCGCAUGCCUGUAAUCUCAGCUACUCGGGAGGCUGAGGCAGGAGAAUGGCUUGAACCAGGGAGUUGGAGGUUGCAGUGAGCCGAGAUCGCGCCACCGCACUCCAGCGUGGUGAAAGAGCAAGACUCCAUCAAAAAAAAAAAAAAAAAAAGAAAGAAAGAAAGAAAAGAAAAGAAAAAGAAAAGAAAAUUUAAAAAGACCUUUUUUGAAAUUUGCCACACAUAUCCACUGGGUGGGAGUGUACAAUCAGUAUACCCCUUUAGCGGGUCUUUUGGCAGUGUUUAUUAAAAUGAAAAAUACAUAGCUUUCGACCCGGCCAUUCUGCUUUUAGAAAUUUGUUUACUGUCACAUGUGUGCAAGGAAAUACAUAUGAGGAUGUUCACUGCAGCACUCUUUAUUUUACAUGGGGAAUAACUAAAUUUUUCUCAAAGAGUUUCGGGAGAAUAAAUCACAGUAAAUGUAUGUGGUAGAAUACUAUGCAAUCAUUGAAAGAAUAAUGUGGAUACGUAAGUGCUUAUAUGGAAAGGCAUUCAAGUAACACCAUUUUUAAAAACAGGUAUAGAAUAUGUGAAAAAUUCAUACAAAAAUGAAUUGACGUAGUAUAAUCCAGCAAUUUCACAUGUUUGUAUGUAUCUAAAAGAACUGAAUGUAGCGUCAUUAAGAGAUAUUUGAACACCAUGUUCAAAACAGCAUCAUUUACAAUAAAUCAAAGGUGGAAGUAGCCCAAAUGUCCAUGGAGAGAUGACUGGAUAAAUUAAAUGUGAUAUAUACAUAAAAUGGGAUAUUGCUCGGCCUUAAAAACGAAGGAAAUUCUGACACAUGCUACAACAUGGAUAAACCUUUAAGGAUAUUAUGCUAAGUGAAUAAGUCAGUCACAAAAAUACAAAUACUGCAUGCCUCCACUUAGAUACUUACAGUAGUCAAAAUCAGAGACGGAAAGUAGAAUGGUGGUUGAGAGGAUGUAUGAGGAGGGAGUUAUUGUUUAAUAGGUACAGAGUUUCAGUUUUGCAAGAUGAAAAAGUUUUGGAGAUUGUUUGCACAACACUGUGAACAUACUAAACACUGCUGAACUGUACACUUAAAAAUGGUUAAGAUGGUAAAUAUUUUGCAUAUUUUACCACAAUUUAAAAUUUUUUUAAAAAUUGAUGCAUUGUGUGUCUGCUUGUACAUAUACAGGAAUUUCUGGAGAGUCUAUUAAUAGUACUUGGGUUUUUAUUGUAUUCCUGUUUUACUGUUUUUAUCAUUUGUGAGCUGUCAAUUUUUAAAAACUUAAAAUUGUUCAAUAAAUUAUGAUGAGCUUGUUAAACAUCAGUAACAGCACUCUUUGCUUGCUGUGUGACCUGGUGCCAAAAGUGCAGAAGAAGCGCAGUAAAUCCUGUGAUUUCCUGGGAGGACAUGAAUAUGUGGUGGCAAAGAGUGGCCAGCGAGAACACAAAGAUGAGUACAUUUUUUCUAAGCA
rnacentral:lncRNA from 1 species